CGUAGAAAAACCGAUUCCCGCACGAUCACCGAAGUUAAGCAACGUCGCGCCUGGUCAGUAGUUAGAUGGGUGAUUUCUUGGGAAUACCAGAUUCUGUAA